rnacentral:tRNA from 1 species
GAGGGUGUAGCUCAGUGGAAGAGUGCUUGUUUUCCAUGCAAGAGGACCUGAAAUCCACCCCCA